rnacentral:rRNA from 1 species
UACGGAGGGUGCAAGCGUUGUUCGGAUUUACUGGGCGUAAAGCGCGCGCAGGUGGAUGGACAAGUCGGAAGUGAAAUCUUGAGGCUCAACCUCGAGGCUGCUCCCGAAACUGUUCGUCUAGGGACUGGUAGAGGCUGGUAGAAUUCCCGGUGUAGCGGUGGAAUGCGUAGAGAUCGGGAAGAAUACCCGUGGCGAAGGCGGCCUGCUGGGCAGUUUCUGGACACUGAGGCGCGACAGCGUGGGGGAGCAAACAGGG